GAGGCUUUGACAUGCUGGUCAUAUGUAGAUAGCGAGGGAGAUAAAUACAUACAUAGACACACAUACGGAAAUCCGAGGAGCCUGCCUCGCGCGAGCGGAGUGUGUGGUGUGUUUUCCCGACGGAGGAUGAGAAGGCACGUUGAAGGGUUGUCCCGUCGCCUGGAUGGCCCAGUGAACGUCUGGGAGAAGACAGAAAGAUGGCUGCGGUCCCAGUCGACCUGCUGGUGCAUUCCAGAAGAACAGCCCGCAGGACUCGUGGAGUGACGACACAAAAAGAAACGUGCAGUCCUUGACGGUGUCUCCACGAGGGCGUCCUCGGCGCUGCCCGUCCAGAAGUCUUCCCGACCUGACAAUGUUUCAUUGUGUGAUAUCCGACAGAGCCGCUGUUGUUGUUGCGCUCAAUUGAGUUGGUGAAGUUGAUGCACCAUCUCAGGAUGCUAAUGUCGCCCUUUUAAGGCUUUAUUGCAUUUUCAACACGGCACAAAGGCAGCAAACAAGGUGUUUUGUUGCUAGCAGACGC